rnacentral:rRNA from 1 species
GAUGAACGCUGGCGGCGUGCUUAACACAUGCAAGUCGAACGGUGAAGCAGGAGCUUGCUCUUGUGGAUCAGUGGCGAACGGGUGAGUAACACGUGAGCAACCUGCCCCAGACUCUGGGAUAAGCGCUGGAAACGGCGUCUAAUACCGGAUACGCACCAGAACCGCAUGGUUACUGGUGGGAAAGAUUUGUUGGUCUGGGAUGGGCUCGCGGCCUAUCAGCUUGUUGGUGAGGUAAUGGCUCACCAAGGCGUCGACGGGUAGCCGGCCUGAGAGGGUGACCGGCCACACUGGGACGGAGACACGGCCCAGACUCCUACGGGAGGCAGCAGUGGGGAAUAUUGCACAAUGGGCGGAAGCCUGAUGCAGCAACGCCGCGUGAGGGAUGACGGCCUUCGGGUUGUAAACCUCUUUUAGCAGGGAAGAAGCGAGAGUGACGGUACCUGCAGAAAAAGCGCCGGCUAACUACGUGCCAGCCGCCGCCGUAA